rnacentral:rRNA from 1 species
ACGUAGGGGGCAAGCGUUGUCCGGAAUUACUGGGCGUAAAGGGCGCGUAGGCGGGAAUUUAAGUUAGAUGUGAAAACUCUGAGCUCAACUUGGAGACUGCAUUUAAAACUGGAUUUCUUGAGGGCAGGAGAGGAAAGUGGAAUUCCUAGUGUAGCGGUGAAAUGCGUAGAUAUUAGGAGGAACACCAGUGGCGAAGGCGACUUUCUGGACUGUACCUGACGCUGAGGCGCGAAAGCGUGGGGAGCGAACAG